ensembl:lncRNA novel transcript
AUUAUUCAAGAGGAAAGGAUGCAAAUGAAGAUCAUUCAAGAAAGCAGAAGCCAACCCAGAAAGGCAAGGACUCUUCCUCUGUGUGGCCACAGUAUGUCACAGCAGAGCCCUGGCUCUCCUGGUGGCCUCCCUCUCACACCAUGAAACUUCUGGACUCCAGGGACCCACAGCUGCACCCAACGAAUUUCACUUUGGCCUGAUCUUGGAUCCACUGAGCAACAGAAAUUUGGGAUGUGAAUUUGGUGGAGCUGGUGUGGACUAGGUCAAGCAAUGAGAAAGGACACAGGAUCAUGGAGAGAAGUGGAUGAGGGGAAGUCGGGGACCUGAGAACUCACUUCUAUGUUUGCAGUGUUCAGCCCCUGGUAAGAGACCUCCUCCUGACAUCCAAGGGGAAGCAUGGAUGUGGUACAGAGAGCCCCACAACUCUGGUCUGGGCUCCCGCAGAAGGCCAGGGGCCAGCACACAAAGGCCACUGUGAGGAGCAGACAUCCGAUGGACCAGCUUCUGAGGUGUCAGAGAGAGACUGA